rnacentral:lncRNA from 1 species
CUGUCAAUCGUAUUCUAAUAUCCAACAUCGAGAUGGUCUUCAUCCUACAUAUCCUCUGGCUAUUCAUUUUAAAUGGGUUGUUGAUUUGGUUAUUAUGCCAGUUGGGUUAUGGUAGAUGAGAUAUUUGGUUUUAGCUCGUGAAGAUUUAUCAAAUCAAGUAGAAGGAAGAGCAUUGAGGACAAAAUCUAUAGAGGGGAUUUGUAGGUUUUUGCUUGAAGAUGUCAUUUGCCACUACGGAUGCGUAGGAAAAAUCA